CCUACGGUCCACUGCGGGAAGGACUCCCCGACGCGGGGGCUUGGAGGGGCUGACUGCUGGCGCCGGCGGCGAGGACGCCAACGCUGCCCCACUCCCCGGACACGACGGGCUAGAUUUCUGCGGCUGAGUGGAUGUAGCCUUGAGGUCAGGAGAAUGAUCACACUUCAGGGGCUUUUUACGUGUGCUGAGUGCUGACCUUGUCAUUAGAGCCAUGAAUCCUCCUGUUAUGUUGAGGUUGAGAGGUCAGAGUUGCUGUAUACAGAAAGUGAAUGACCAUGUAAAGUGCCUAUUCUUCUUGGUUGCUCGGUAUGCUUCUAUUGAAAUGUUUCGUAUGUCAUGGGAAUUACUUCAUUUGAAGCAUUACUAAGUGCUCAGCUCACCUA